GUAACAAGGUUUCCGUAGGUGAACCUGCGGAAGGAUCAUUACAGUGGCGCCGGACCGCGUUUUGCCCCUAAACCGGGGGCGCGCGGUCCGCACCUCCCACCCUUGUCUACUUAACCAAUGUUGCUUUGGCAGGCCCGCCGCUCGCGGCCGUCGGGGAGCGCCGGUCAGGCGCCCUGGGCGAGUGUCUGCCAGAGAAAAAUUUGAAUUCGAUGUGAAUAUUGUCAGUCUGAGUAUUCUAAUAAGAAUCAAAUAAAACUUUCAACAACGGAUCUCUUGGUUCCAGCAUCGAUGAAGAACGCAGCGAAAUGCGAUAAGUAAUGUGAAUUGCAGAAUUCCGUGAAUCAUCGAAUCUUUGAACGCACAUUGCGCCCUCUGGUAUUCCGGGGGGCAUGCCUGUUCGAGCGUCAUUGCAACCCUUCAAGCGCGGCUUGUGUGUUGGGCUGCCGUCCCCGUAUGGAGUGGACGAGCCUGAAAUUCAGUGGCGGCACCGAGAUUCUGGUGUCUGAGUGCAUGGGAGACCUUUCGCUCAAUAGACCCGGCCGGCGCCGAUUGUUAAUGACCUCUAGUUUGACCUCGGAUCAGGUAGGAAUACCCGCUGAACUUAAGCAUAUCAAUAAGCGGAGGAAAAGAAACCAACAGGGAUUGCCUCAGUAACGGCGAGUGAAGCGGCAAA
rnacentral:misc_RNA from 1 species